rnacentral:rRNA from 1 species
UACGUAGGGCGCAAGCGUUGUCCGGAAUUAUUGGGCGUAAAGAGCUCGUAGGCGGCCUGUUACGUCUGCUGUGAAAUCCCGGGGCUUAACCCCGGGCGUGCAGUGGAUACGGGCAGGCUGGAGGCAGGCAGGGGAGAACGGAACUCCCGGUGUAGCGGUGAAAUGCGCAGAUAUCGGGAGGAACACCGGUGGCGAAGGCGGUUCUCUGGGCCUGUACUGACGCUGAGGAGCGAAAGCGUGGGGAGCGAACAGG